CGUUCCCGGGCCUUGUACACACCGCCCGUCACACCAUGGGAAGUUGGGUUUUACCUGAAGACGGUGUUCUAACCCGCAAGGGAGGAAGCCGGCCACGGUAAGGUCAGCGACUGGGGUG
rnacentral:rRNA from 1 species